AUGGCGAGCUUCAAGGGCCUUGUCGGCGAGGGGAGCGCGGCGCUGCCGCACGUCCUCGCCGUGGACGACAGCUCGGUCGACCGCGCCGUCAUCUCCGGCAUCCUCCGGAGCUCCAAGUUCCGCGUGACCGCCGUGGACAGCGGGAAGAGGGCCCUGGAGCUUCUUGGCUCCGAGGCCAAUGUGAGCAUGAUAAUCACCGACUACUGGAUGCCGGAGAUGACGGGCUACGAGCUCCUCAAGAAGGUCAAGGGGUCGUCCAAGCUGAGGGAGAUCCCCGUGGUGAUCAUGUCCUCGGAGAACGUGCCUACAAGGAUCAACAGGUGCCUGGAGGAGGGAGCCGAGGAUUUCCUGCUGAAGCCCGUCCAGCCGUCCGACGUGUCGCGCCUCUGCAGCCGCGUCCUCCGCUGA
rnacentral:rRNA from 1 species